AUAACGCACAAAGGUUACCGCAGAUUCUAGGUUAAGACCUUUAUUUAUUUAGAUCGGGCGGUCAUUAGAGCUAAACAGAAAGUUUCCAGAAAAGCCCUGCUACUUCUGAAAGAUCCCAACACGUAUUACAGGCCAUCCGUCUCACUCUGUAACUCCUGUUCCCUCCAUGCCCUCGUUCUGGCCCAUGCCGCUGAACAUAUUACACAGAUGAAUGGUGAACUCAUCGGCGGUGAACAACCAUCCUCUGUCCAGUUACUCAUUUGGCACAAAAGAACCGAAAAUGGAGAAAGAUGUCUCCGCCGCUGAUCGUGUCGUUGCAUGAAAGCCUAGUACAAGAGCAUGCUCAUUCUCACAUUCUUCAAUUGGAAACACAUUCUGCAGACUGCUGGGUAGGCGACUAAAGCCAGGAGAGAAUGAAAUUGAAGGUUUGGAAAGAAAACUGACCAGCAAGCUUGGUGCUAAUUCACUUGCACUGGUGCCAGAUUGGUAGGUAUUUCUUUCCUCUUUUACUCUAGUCCUGAGUCAUGGCAUAAACCAAAGACGAUGAGUCUAAUAUGAGUAGAGGAAGCCUAUAAAAAAUAAGUCCCAAAAAGAUGGGCAGUAGAGAGAAAAAAAAAAGGUAUAUAAAACAUAUGCUUAUUGUUGGAUGUCAUGUUCUCUUUGCUUUCUAUAUACUGAGUGAAUUGGAUAUUUGAUGUUUAUUUUUUGUCA